CAGGCCCCCGGAGCCCAGAGCUUUCAUCCUGGUCUGAACUCUCCACUGAGAAUUUGUAUAUAAACAAUUAUUUCUUAAAAGAGAUUACCUACGUAAUUACUCUAACUGCUUACUUUAUACGUUUUUAUGUAUUGAAUUUUUUUUUUUUUCUUUUUUGAGAUGGAGUCUAGCUCUGUCGCCUAGGAUGGAGUGCAGUGGCGUGAUCUCGAUCAACCUUUCUUUACUUGAUACCUUAUAUGCCUUUUUAAGUAUGUAUAUCUUACUUAGUGAGAAUAUUACCUAUUUUAAUAUGACUGUUUUCCUCUAGAACCUCAAAGGAAAAUAAAAUGUCAAAUGGGAAGAUUUAUUGUUUGAUGUAUCUCAAAAGUCUUGUACAUGUAAAUUUACCCCACAAUUUUUUAUAAACACUCUGAAGUGCAUGUGUCUCAUUUUCUUCUCUAGUAAAUGGGGGUUUUGUUUUGUUUUUAGCAUGUUGGGUUUCUCUAGGAUGGAGGACCCAGUGAGCCUUGGGAUCAGACUUUGUGCAUCACCUCCUGGGGUCACACAACUUCCAGAUGUGUGGGCUGACCUCAUGUCGACGCCUCCAGGGUGCCUGGGGCUGAGCUUGAUUCCAGGAGCCGUCUGAUCAAUACUCACUCAGGAGCAUAGCACACAGAACAUUUGGUUGACUAAAAUGUAUAGCUGCCACAAAAUCAAAUUUUUACUGUAUUUUAGAAACCUUAGAACUGGGUUUGAAUUUCUGGUUUAAUAUUUGUUGCAACUUGCAUUGUGGGAAAAAGCACUGGCCUACAGGUCAAGAGACCUGGGCUUGCAUUGUAGCUUUGUAGUUGACCACUGGGAGACCACCUGGGUAACUGAUCAACAAGUGUCCUCAGCUGUAGGAUGGCAGACGAAGUGGCCCUGGGGGCCCUGGUUCCAUGCUGCGCGGUGAGACGUGUGCUGAGGAGGACUGGGGGCCCUGGUUCCAUGCUGGGCGGUGAGACGCGUACUGAGGAGGAAUUGGCCAAUGCAAGGCGUUGCGAAUGCAGCUUAUCUGAAGGGCUGUGCUUUGAUCCCGUGGU
rnacentral:lncRNA from 1 species